rnacentral:rRNA from 1 species
CGAAAUGCGAUACGUAAUGUGAAUUGCAGAAGUCAGUGAAUCAUCGAAUCUUUGAACGCACAUUGCG